CAGCAGCCACGGGAAUACAGAGGGUGCAAGCGUUAAUCGGAAUUACUGGGCGUAAAGCGCGCGUAGGUGGUUUGUUAAGUUGGAUGUGAAAUCCCCGGGCUCAACCUGGGAACUGCAUCCAAAACUGGCAAGCUAGAGUAUGGUAGAGGGUGGUGGAAUUUCCUGUGUAGCGGUGAAAUGCGUAGAUAUAGGAAGGAACACCAGUGGCGAAGGCGACCACCUGGACUGAUACUGACACUGAGGUGCGAAAGCGUGGGGAGCAAACAGGAUUAGAGACCCGCGUAGUCCCUGUCUCUUAUAC
rnacentral:rRNA from 1 species